rnacentral:rRNA from 1 species
UACGUAGGGUGCAAGCGUUAAUCGGAAUUACUGGGCGUAAAGCGUGCGCAGGCGGUUAUUCAAGUCAGAUGUGAAAGCCCCGGGCUUAACCUGGGUAUUGCGUUUGAAACUAGAUAACUUGAGUCUGUCAGAGGGGGGUGGAAUUCCACGUGUAGCAGUGAAAUGCGUAGAGAUGUGGAGGAACACCGAUGGCGAAGGCAGCCCCCUGGGAUAAGACUGACGCUCAUGCACGAAAGCGUGGGGAGCAAACAGG